rnacentral:rRNA from 1 species
CCUACGGGAGGCAGCAGUGGGGAAUAUUGCACAAUGGGGGAAACCCUGAUGCAGCGACGCCGCGUGAGUGAAGAAGUAUUUCGUUAUGUAAAGCUCUAUCAGCAGGGAAGAAAAUGACGGUACCUGAGUGAGAAGCCCCUGCUAACUACGUGCCAGCAGCCGCGGUAAUACGUAGGGGGAAAGCGUUAUCCGGAUUUACUGGGUGUAAAGGUAGCGUAGACGGGAGUGCAAGUCUGGAGUGAAAGGCGGGGGCUCAACCCCCGGACUGCUCUGGAAACUGUACGGCUGGAGUGCAGGAGAGGUAAGUGGAAUUCCGAGUGUAGCGGUGAAAUGCGUAGAUAUAAGGAGGAACAACAGUGGCGAAGGCGACUUACUGGACUGUAACUGACGUUGAGGCUCGAAAGCGUGGGGAGCAAACAGGAUUAGAUACCCUUGUAGUC